rnacentral:rRNA from 1 species
UGACCUCAGAUCGGGUGGGACUACCCGCUGAACUUAAGCAUAUCAAUAAGCGGAGGAAAAGAAACUAACAAGGAUUCCCCUAGUAACGGCGAGUGAAGAGGGAAAAGCUCAAAUUUUGAAUCUGGUGUCUUUGGCAUCCGAGUUGUAAUCUAGAGAAGUGUUUUUUGCCUUGGACCACACAUAAAUUCCCUGGAAUGGGGUGUCAUAGAGGGUGAGAAUCCCGUUUGUGGUGUGGACUACCUUGGCUAUGUAAUACACUCUCAACGAGUCGAGUUGUUUGGGAAUGCAGCUCAAAAUGGGUGGUAAAUUCCAUCUAAAGCUAAAUACUGGCGAGAGACCGAUAGCGAACAAGUACCGUGAGGGAAAGAUGAAAAGCACUUUGGAAAGAGAGUGAAACAGUACGUGAAAUUGUUGAAAGGGAAGCGUUUGAAGUCAGUCACAUUGGUCAGAAUUCAGCCUGGCUUCUGCCUGGUUCACUUUUUGGCAAAUGGGUCAGCAUCAAUUUUGAUUGAGGGAGAAAGACUUGAGGAAUGUGGCUGUCUUCGGGCAGUGUUAUAGCCUCUUGUUGUAUGUCUCAAUUGGGAUUGAGGAAUGCAGCACGCCUUAUGGCCGGGGUUCGCCCUCGGUACGUGCUUAGGAUGUUGACAUAA